ACAAUGGGGGAAACCCUGAUGCAGCGACGCCGCGUGGAGGAAGAAGGUCUUCGGAUUGUAAACUCCUGUUGUUGAGGAAGAUAAUGACGGUACUCAACAAGGAAGUGACGGCUAACUACGUGCCAGCAGCCGCGGUAAAACGUAGGUCACAAGCGUUGUCCGGAAUUACUGGGUGUAAAGGGAGCGCAGGCGGGAAGACAAGUUGGAAGUGAAAUCUAUGGGCUCAACCCAUAAACUGCUUUCAAAACUGUUUUUCUUGAGUAGUGCAGAGGUAGGCGGAAUUCCCGGUGUAGCGGUGGAAUGCGUAGAUAUCGGGAGGAACACCAGUGGCGAAGGCGGUCUACUGGGCACCAACUGACGCUGAGGCUCGAAAGCAUGGGUAGCAAACAGGAUUAGAUACCCUGGUAGUCCAUGCCGUAAACGAUGAUUACUAGGUGUUGGGGGAUUGACCCCCUCAGUGCCGCAGUUAACACAAUAAGUAAUCCACCUGGGGAGUACGACCGCAAGGUUGAAACUCAAAGGAAUUGACGGGGGCCCGCACAAGCAGUGGAGUAUGUGGUUUAAUUCGACGCAACGCGAAGAACCUUACCAAGUCUUGACAUCCUGCGACGAUGCUGGAAACAGUAUUUUCCUUCGGGACGCAGAGACAGGUGGUGCAUGGUUGUCGUCAGCUCGUGUCGUGAGAUGUUGGGUUAAGU
rnacentral:rRNA from 1 species